GCGAAUCCAGGAUUUCAAGAAAACGGGUGCACCAUUGCUUUAGAAUUUAAUUUUUUUUUUGAAAAAACGAGUGUUAUUAGUUACUAAAAAAAAUUGAAGUGAAUUGUGGCUGGCUGGGAUUGAACUCAGGACCUUGGUGUUAAAAUUUGGCUGUCAAACCAGUGAACCAUCCAGCAACUUUAAGAACGGGUUCAACAAGUGUUUAUUUAAUAUGUUCUUUAAUAAUUAUACAAGUAAUAUAUCGAGUUUAGUCGGAGGACCACGGGUUCGGGUGACCCAAUUUUUACACAUAAAUUCGCCACUGC
rnacentral:lncRNA from 1 species